rnacentral:rRNA from 1 species
GAAAGUAAGCAAGGGCAGACGGUGGAUGCCUUGGCUCUCGGAGGCGACGAAGGACGUGAUAAGCUGCGAAAAGCCCGGGGGAGGCGCAAAUAGCCGUUGAUCCCGGGAUAUCCGAAUGGGGCAACCCGGCAGGCUGAAGGCCUGCCAUCCCGUAAGGGAGGCGAACGUGGGGAACUGAAACAUCUAAGUACCCAUAGGAGGAGAAAAUAAACAAUGAUUCCGUAAGUAGUGGCGAGCGAACACGGAAGAGCCCAAACCCAUGUCGUCUAGGCGACACGGGGGUUGUAGGACCACGACGUGGCAAGAUAGAGUCAAGUGGAACGCCUUGGAAAAGGCGGUCAUAGAGGGUGAAAACCCCGUACACGACUGACGAUUGAAGCCUAGUGGCAUCCUGAGUAGCGCGGGGCACGAGAAAUCUUGCGUGAAACUGCGGGGCCCAUCCCGUAAGGCUAAAUACUCCCGAGAGACCGAUAGCGAACCAGUACCGUGAGGGAAAGGUGAAAAGAACCCCGAGCAGGGGAGUGAAAUAGACCCUGAACCCGUCUGCCUACAAGCGGUCGGAGCGUUGUUAUGACGUGACGGCGUGCCUUUUGCAUAAUGAACCUACGAGUUACCUUCCCCGGCAAGGUUAAGUACCUAAGGUACGGAGCCGAAGCGAAAGCGAGUCUGAAGAGGGCGGCCAGUCGGGGGGGGUAGACGCGAAACCGAGUGAUCUACCCUUGGCCAGGUUGAAGGUUGGGUAACACCAACUGGAGGACCGGAUGGGUAAGCGUUGAAAAGCUUUCCAAUGAGCUGAGGGUAGGGGUGAAAGGCUAAUCAAACUCGGAGAUAGCUCGUACUCCCCGAAAUGCAUUUAGGUGCAGCCUCUUUAUAGUAUAUCGUGAGGUAGAGCGACUGAUUGGAUGCGAGGGCUUCACCGCCUAUCAAGUCCAGAUAAACUCCGAAUGCGCGAUAUAUAUUUACAGGGAGUGAGGGCGCGGGUGCUAAGGUCCGUGUCCGAGAGGAGAAGAAUCCAGACCACCGGCUAAGGCCCCCAAAUGAUCGUUGAGUUGAACUAACGAGGUCGGAUCGCAGAGACAGCUAGGAUGUUGGCUUGGAAGCAGCCAUUCAUUUAAAGAGUGCGUAACAGCUCACUAGUCGAGCGAUCUGGCGUGGAUAAUAAUCGGGCAUAAACGAUCUGCCGAAGCCGUGGAUGUCGCAAGACAUGGUAGGGGAGCAUUCCAUGCCGCGUCGAAGAUGAGGGAUGACCCUUGUUGGAGCGCAUGGAAAAGCAAAUGUAGGUAUGAGUAACGAUAAGGGGGGCGAGAAACCCCCCCGCCGAAAGACCAAGGUUUCCUGAUCAACGCUAAUCGGAUCAGGGUGAGUCGGGACCUAAGGCAAAGCCGAACGGCGCCGCCGAUGGAAGAAUGGGUUAAUAUUCCCAUACUGCCUCAUGGAGUGACGUGGAGACGGAGAAGUGACAGUCCUGCCGGCUGACGGAAUAGCCGGUUGAAGGGUGUAGAUAUUGAUUCCCGUAGGCAAAUCCGCGGGGAGAGUCGAACCUGACAGUAUACCGAGUACUUGUACGAGGUAAUAUGGACGUAACCAUGCUCCCAAGAAAAUCCGCUAAACUUAUCCAUGCGGCACCCGUACCGUAAACGGACACACGUGGUCGGGUUGAGAAUACUGAGGCGCUCGAGUGACUCACGGUUAAGGAACUAGGCAAAUUGACCCUGUAACUUCGGGAUAAAGGGUCCUCGUCGUAAGGCGAGGCGCAGAGAAUAGGUCCAGGCAACUGUUUAACAAAAACACAUGGCUGUGCUAAAUGGAAACAUGACGUAUACAGCCUGACACCUGCCCGGUGCUGGAAGGUUAAGAGGAGAUGUCAUCGCAAGAGAAGCGUUGAAUUGAAGCCCCAGUAAACGGCGGCCGUAACUAUAACGGUCCUAAGGUAGCGAAAUUCCUUGUC